UUGGUUCUCCCGCAACACUAACUUGUUAACUUGGUCAGGUCUGGAAGGAAGCAGCCAUAGCAGGGGUCGUGUGUGCCGGGAUGUCGCUGG
rnacentral:SRP_RNA from 1 species